CGUGCCCGCAGCCACCCGCAUUAAGUUCCCACGCCUGGGGAGUACGGCCCCAAGGCCAAAACUCAAAGGAAUUGAUGGGGGCCCUCACAAGAGGCGGACCAUGUGGGUUAAUUGGACGCAACGCGAAGAACUUUACCAAGGCUUGACAUACACCGGAAACUGGCAGAGAUGUCAGCCCCCUUGUGGUCGGUGUACAGGUGGUGCAUGGCUGUCGUCAGCUCGUGUCGUGAGAUGUUGGGUUAAGUCCCGCAACGAGCGCAACCCUUGUUCUGUGUUGCCAGCAUGCCCUUCGGGGUGAUGGGGACUCACAGGAGACUGCCGGGGUCAACUCGGAGGAAGGUGGGGACGACGUCAAGUCAUCAUGCCCCUUAUGUCUUGGGCUGCACACGUGCUACAAUGGCCGGUACAAUGAGCUGCGAUACCGCGAGGUGGAGCGAAUCUCAAAAAGCCGGUCUCAGUUCGGAUUGGGGUCUGCAACUCGACCCCAUGAAGUCGGAGUCUCUAGUAAUCGCAGAUCAGCAUUGCUGCGGUGAAUACGUUCCCGGGCCUUGUACACACCGCCCGUCACGUCACGAAAGUCGGUAACACCCGAAGCCGGUGGCCCAACCCCUUGUGGGAGGGAGUCGUCGAAGGUGGG
rnacentral:rRNA from 1 species